UCUUCCUGACCACCUUGCGACCGCUGUCUGACAAGACCAGCUCUUUAUAGGCUGUGUUUUGGUCAAAUGUGAGACUGGAGGAAUCUACAGAGAGAAACAGUUGAUUGGUUAUUCUGCCCUUUUAAUGAAGACAGAUGUUCUUGUGCUUUGUGACUGUGUUCUUCCAUACUGGAAUCUAGUGUGCCCCUAUUCCUCCUACCUUUUAAACGUCCUCCAGAUCUUGGGAUAAGAACAUAAACUGGGGUGUCGCUCACUGAGAACCAAAAUGCAAGUAUUUCUUUUAAUUUUCCUGCUUUGUUUUUAUUCUUUUGUUGUGUCAUUACAUACUGUUACGUACAAACCAUUGGACUCUAUAAUAGCUUGGUUGAUUGCAUUGGCUGUGAUGCCAUUUAGACAUUGUUUUCAUGUGUUCUUCAGAGGAUUCGUUACAGACAUGUUACAGUUUAACUCAAAAAGGCCCACACAAGACCAUAUGUUUACCUUUGUAUCCUAGAAACUAGGAUUAAUGAUUAUCAUGAGAAACAAUGGCUGUACUGUACCUGUUUUAGAGAUGGUGCCCAGCUCUUUCUUACAGAUGUCAUCCAGAUGCUCCUUCAUGUCCGUGACUGUCUUAGUGAUCUCACUAAAGGAGAACUCAGGGUUGAUGAGCACUUUUGGGACCAUGGGCUCAGGGGGAACAGACAGUGUGGGGAAGUUCUGCCAUAUCAAUUAAAUUUGGUCUCAAGAGGUGUGUCAAGUAAUCACAACAUGCCCAGAUAGUCCGUUUCAGCACAAUCAGUAAGAAUAUAUCACCAUAGCUUUGUUUACAGUACACCUGUUGGUGAUCAUUUAUUAAUCUAAAGUAAGUAGAACAGUGUCUCCAAAAGGGUACAGAAAUAGAACUAAGCAAUAGGAAUCUAAUCAUAUUUAAAAGAAAUAUAACUAAAUAUAAAAUGAAAAUAGUAUAUUUGUUGCCAUUCAGUACACUGCGUACUCCUUGAUAUUAAACAGACUUUGUGUUUGGUGUGCAGUUGGCAGCACCUGCAGAAAGUGGAUGUUGUCCUCUGUCUCCAGUAUCUGCCUGAGCUCGGAAUCUCUUCUCUGCAGCUCCAUGAUCUCCUGCUCCAGUCUCUCCACGUAGCCCUGGGCCUGCAA